rnacentral:tRNA from 1 species
CAUUAGAUGACUGAAAGAAAGUAAUGGUCUCUUAAACCAGCUAAUAGUAAUUAACGCCUACUUCUAAUGA